rnacentral:rRNA from 1 species
CCAAUAGCGUAUAUUAAAGUUGUUGCAGUUAAAAAGCUCGUAGUUGAAUUUCGGGAUCAAUAUUUCGGUCAUGCCGUUGGUAUGCACUGUUAUCAUUGAUUUCUCACCUUCUAAAGAACCGUAAUGCCAUUAAUUUGGUGUUACGGGGAAUUAGGACUGUUACCUUGAAAAAAUUAGAGUGUUUAAAGCAGGCUCACGCUUGAAUACAUUAGCAUGGACUAAUGAAAUAGGACAUCCGAUUCUAUUUUGUUGGUUCCUAGGAUCGAUGUAAUGAUUAAUAGGGAUAGUUGGGGGCAUUAGUAUUCAAUUGUCAGAGGUGAAAUUCUUGGAUUUAUUGAAGACUAACUACUGCGAAAGCAUUUGCCAAGGAUGUUUUCAUUAAUCAAGAACGAAAGUUAGGGGAUCGAAGACGAUCAGAUACCGUCGUAGUCUUAACCAUAAACUAUGCCGACUAGGGAUCGGAUGAUGUUAAUUUUUUAAUGACUCAUUCGGCGCCUUACG